CAACGAAGUCGGUCUCGCAAGUCGCUACCCCUCCUUCACCAGAUGACUUUAAAUUAGAGGGAGUUGUAAAUGCGCACGCUUCCCAGAAUUUGUGAAUGCAGAUGAUGGAUCGCAAAGAGAAUCAAUCUCCACAAGGCCGAACUGCCAGAGUUUUGGUUGAAUUUUUAGAAGUGGCCAUUACGGCUGUGGUUUUUCUCAAAGGGGUUUAUCCUUCUGGUGCUUUUGAGAGGACGCGGUAUAUGAAUGUGGUGGUUCAGAAGGCUCGCCAUCCUCAGCUCAGGUAUUAUAUACAUGCUGCUGUUUCAGGACUUCUUCCCUUUUUACAGCAGGGAAUGGUGGAGAGAGUAGCGGUUAUAUUCUACAAAGCUGAUGAUGUUCCACUGGAAAAAUUUGUAUUUAAGCUUGCAGUGAACCAAUCUUACGGCUCAAACGUGGAUGAGGCCGACCUGGAGCUCUCUCUGAGAUCCUUCCUGAUAAAGCUCUCAGUCUCAGAAUCUCUUACAAAGGAUCUUCCCCCGGGUGAAUAUUGCAAGUGGGAGAUAACUGCUUACUUUCGAUCCGUUCCUGACCCUAGUAUGAGCAAGGAAGCUGAGUUAUGGAUCCCAACUGACACAAAGCAGUGGCAUCAGCCUCCGCUUAUAACCCCUAUCAAGUCAAUGAGUAGCGAACCUCUAUGUCUGCAGCUAUACUUGGAACAUCCAAAUUUAUCUGAAUGACUACUAUGGGAAGGGAACCCAGUGCUGUGUUCUAUAAAAUAUACUAAUUACAGAAGCACACAAUUAGGAGUGAAAUUAAACCAUCUUGCCUGCCCAAUGUGCAAUGAAACAUGAAUGGGCCUUGGAAGAUACUAUCCAUUUUUUGCACCUGACCAGUUAAUCAGAAUUUCUGAUAUGCUGUGGAACACAUGAAAACCCCUUUUCCUUCUGAACCUGCCCCUGAGAAAUAAUGGAAAGAGGAAAGAUGAAAAUUCCAGUCAAAACCAACCAACUGCUGUGUCACGGGACAAUGCAGAGUUGGGGAAAUUUAGAAGAGAAUGUUUACUCCCCUGAUGUUGUGACAGAAUAUCAUCAAAUAGUUUCUGAAUCUGAUGUACGAUGUGGUGGUCAUGCCUACACAUGUGCGCACCUCAAUGACUGCUCUUAAAUUGAUAUCUUUUUCAUAGGUGGUCAAGUGCCACUUUUAUUGAGUGCUUUUGCUUCCGAGUCCUUCAAUGCCAUUUCUUUGUCUUUGCAUGUUUUCUUUGAGGUUAAUGCCCUUCCUGCCAUUAUAUUAGACAACUGUGUAUGUUAACAUUUUCCCCCAAGCAUAACAGAGUCAUUGAUUCAUAUAAAAUUCCAUCUUUGGUUCUA